GCUUACUGCCGGGGAGCAAAAUGCAGGUUUUAAAGACAAGAACGCUAUUUUUAUAAACAACCAGGACGGCAGUAGAAGGUUUAUUUGGAAAUUCCAGCCCUGGAGAGGCGUCGCUUGCAAACCCCAGACUGAACCCUGUCUCCUGGAAAGAGAAGUGUUGAGGCAGAGCCUGGAAGCGCAGGCAGAGGGGACCGGCCACCCGCAGACCACUCGCCCUCGAGGUCGUUGGUGUGCUGGGUGGCGGCUGACCCCUGCCACCCCUGCCCAUGCUGCCUACAAAGGAAAUGGCGUGUUUGACCAGUGGAAGGCAUCCUUGUGGGUCGGAGGGACUAGAGCCGGUCACACAGGCGGCCUCCCAACCCCAGGCCGAAGCCGGCAAGUGCUACCAACCUGGGCUCUUUUCCCUUCCCAGAAAAUCUCUGCUUAACAUUGACCAGCCCGCUGCUGUGUAUAAACCGAUCCAAGAGGAACCAGUUAACCUGCUACGUGAACAAGAUUUCAGCAUCAAACUGUGGGCAGUGGAGGCCUCCAGUUGUAAAACUCCCAGUUGACAGAUGACACACACCUGAUGUUCAUGAAAAGUCCAUGCGUCCAGCGUAAACAGUCAGAGUGUGGCCUGUCCCUGGAGGCCCUAGAAACCGUGGUGGCAGCUCAGGGAUGGGGCGGGCCUGCAAGUGUGGGCCGGAGUCUCCAAGCUGAAUUCGGACCUCUCUCUUUUAAACCUCAUAGCGACUUCCCUCCAGUGACCCCCUGUACGGAGAUGUGCUGUCGAGGCCAAGAGCAGGGAGUGGACUGCAGAGAGAGGGUCUCUGGGUGGCUUUGGGACUCUGCUCCCUACAUUGCCCCAGACUGCAGGCCGCAAGGUCCACUCCACCAGCUGACCUGGUGUUUCGGCGAAGGACUGUGGCCUGGCUUUCUAAAGUCCUCUGGCUGCAGAGUGCAGCCUGGUGGGUGCCACUGAGUUCAUUUCACAGACCUGGUCUGUGUAACAGAAAAGGGACUGAACGUGGACUGAGGAGUCAGGAGCCACGUUCAAGGCAGAUUAAUCUAGGCUGUAGAAGCCAGAGAGCGGUGCGGGCUUUCCUGGGAAGGGGCGUGGCGGGGGAGGAUGCUGGGGGGGGCGCGGAGUUUGUGGGUGACGGAGAUGGUCUGUAUGCUUCACACAAGUGUGCACGUGUCAGAAUUCCUCGCAUGGCACUGAAGAUCUAGGCGUUUUAUUGAAUGUAAAAAGCGCCGUUUUUAAAAGGGCACGUUCAGUUCCUGGCCUCUCUCUCACUCUCUGUGUAGACGGGCUCUUCGCCUCUGGAGCCUUGCUUUCCUACCUGUAAAACGCUGGGCUGUGCGUGGUCGUGGGUAUUAAAUGAGACCUCGUGGGUCCAGAGCACUUUGGAAAUGAUGGCAAGACUCACACACGGGGACUCCCAGGUUAUGUUUGCCAUCCAGCCUCCCUCUGAGCAGAUCACUGAGCUCGUACAAACCUGUGGACGCUGCCUCGCUACUUCCUUGGAGAUUAGUGUUUAUCUGUCUAUUUUAAGGAGACUCUGGAGGUAUCAAAACGCUGCAGAAAAGCAAAUGGAAUAUGGCUUUGCCGGGGAGUGGAGAGAGGGCUGGAAGGGAACAGCUGGGGAGAAAGCCGUCAAUCCAGCUUGGCAGCAGGGCCAGCCGGAUGCCAGGAGGGAGUCGCUAAAUGCCUGCGAGAGAGUCGUGACCAGGAAAAGCAGCGAGAGUUAAAAAAAAAUCACAUCUUGCCAAACAAACUGGGUCACAUUCGUGAUGGAGUUAGUCACUGAGCAGAGACAGGAAAGCACUUUCAGGGGAAAAAGCAAAAUGUUUGGGGGCCAUGUGACUCGGCUGGAAGUGGCAAAGGUCACUUGCGCCUCCUGGCCCAGUCUGGUCAUGAAGUAGAAGAUUCUUCAACGUGUCUUGUUGGUACCGGGGGUUUGAACUUGAUCUUUGCUCCUAACAGCAGGCACAAACAACCUUUGCAGUGGAAGCAAGAGCAUAGCACACAUCUUAAAAUGGAAAAGCCGGGCUCCUGACCACGACACAGGCAGAGUCUUUCCACUUGGGAACUUUAAAGUCAGAGCAGAGAACGUAUGCCCUUUGGCAGCAAAAUCCUAUACCAGGAACAAACAACGCUGAUAGCAAAUUUUAGAUUGUUAGCCACUAAAAUAAAAGCAGGGCAAGAUUGAACAGGAAGAAAUAGUCUACAAGAGAAAUCUGAUGUGUGAAAUUUUUAUUUUAUCCUCAUUAUAAAAAUUUUGGUGCUUUCUGCUAGAGAUUUCUGCCAAGAACUGUGAUAUGCUGAAAAAGAAGAGGAAAUGUACUUGAGAUGCUGUGACUAUAAAAGGCUGUUUAAAGUGACGGGAACCAGUGGGGUCUCCAAUGACCAAGGUUAUAAAAUUAGGAUCUUUACCAAAUCUGGGUGAAAAGAAAAAAACUGGAGUAAAAGCAACAGUGGCGUCUACCUUAGUAUAACUUAGGUUUUCCCACAAUAUGUGCCUUUUCUUGGGUCGUGUCAGAUCUCUUACGUUGUUAAUUCCCUGUUCCAAGAGCUGUCCCUCUUGGAACAAGGCGGGGAGCUGGGGAGAGGAGCUGGGGAGAGGAGGCAUGGUGAGGAAGCGGGAGUGUCUUUCUUGUGACCUCUGAAUCCAGGUGGAAAGAGGGCUCCACCCGACACUGUCACAGGCACGCGGUCCAGUGCUCCAGGUGUGGAGCAAGCCUAGGCAGGAGGAGCCUCCUCCCGAACCAGGUCUCAGUGUCACUGGAAAUCUGAUGCCUCAAGCCUCCACCUCUGCACUCAGUGCCCGCCUCUUCUAGCUGUACCACUGUCACUUGGCAUGUGCAGUCUGAGCCAGGCCUUUGCAUCCUAAAGCAGGCUCUGUGUAUGUCUUUCACCCUUUUCUUUCAGGUCUUCCAAAAUAGUAGAAGAUACAGUUUCUCCCCAGUUCAGCUAUGGGCUGUGAGUCCCAAGAGAAUCCUUCAUUUCUCCCUGGCUUUAGGACUUUCUGACUUGGGUUUAAAGCUCAGGUCCAUCCCGUUGCUCAUUGGCCAGUGGGGAAACCUCUGAGAACACUGAUUUUCUUGCCUUGAGGGGAGGCACGGAGUAAGUAAGCAGCCGAUGCACAAGCUAUCAUUAGUUGCUUAACAUUUUUGCUGAUGGCUUGAAUGGGUCUCAUUCGUAAGGUAGCCAGUUAUCGCUAAUGGAUAGAGGAGAGCAAGCAAGAGAGACUCAUGAUCCUCAAAAUGGUGUUUUUGUCCCAAGUCACCUUUCCCAGUACUGAACUUGGGGACAUGUCAUUUUUAUUUUUCUUUUUUUAAACGGUAUCUAUUUAUUUUUUGUCUCUUUGCCUUUUCUAGGGCCGCUCCCGUGGCAUAUGGAGGUUCCCAGGCUAGGGGUCUAAUCGGAACUGUAGCCACCAGCCUACGCCAGAGCCACAGCAACGCGGGAUCCAAGCCACAUCUGCGACCUACACCACAGCUCACGGCCACACUGGAUCCCCAACCCACUGAGCAAAGCCAGGGAUCGAACCCGCAACCUCAUGGUUCCUAGUCGGAUUCGUUUCUGCUGCGCCCCCACAGGAACUCACGGGAUGUGUCAUUUAAUGGCAGCACCUGUGUGUUCCUGUGAUCUAAGAAAUCUGCGUUAGGUCUUCAUUCCUCAUUCCCAGCACAAGAGCUUCCGAAGCCCUGGGAAUUUCCUGAGUAGUAAGUCUGAGAGGAGCUUCUUGUGUUAUUCAUAAUAAGCCCCUUUCGACCAAACCUGUUUUUUUGUUGCUGUUGUUGUUGUUGUUUGUUUGUUUGUUUUUACAGUAGUGAAGUUACUUUUGUUUGGAGUGGUGGUGGCUUGAGAGCUUCAGGAUGGGGGCUGUUUGCCAGAGGAACCAACUCUGUGAUUAGAUGUUGGAAUUUUCAGCCCCACCUUCUGGCCUUUUGGGAGGGGAGAGGGGCUGGAGUCUGAAUUAAUCACCAAAUAGCCAAUGAUUUGAUCAGUUAUACUUAUGUAAUGAAAGUUUCAUCAGAACCCCUAAAUGAUGGAGUUUAGAGAGCUUCUGGGUUGGUGAACACGCUGAGGGUUCUGGGAGGGUGAUGUGCCCAGAGGGGGCAUGGAAGCCCCACCUACCCCUCCCCUGAUCCCUUGCCCCAGGCGUCUCUUCCAUUUGACUCUUCAUUUGUAAUAAACUGGUACUAGUAAGUCAAGUAUUUCCCUGAGUUCUGACAGAUGAUUGAAUCUGAAGAGGGAGUUGUGGGAACCUCUUCACUUCAUAGCUGGUCAGGUAAGAAGUACAGAUAGCAUCCCCCACACAUUUGGUGUCAGAAGUGUGAGCAGAAACCGGUCAUAACCUGUGAAGUAUGUUCAGGAGUCUGGCCCACAAAGUGCCCCUGUUGGGAUUGGGGCAGACAGGGUGAUCUGAUGUGUUAGAGUUCCUUAGUUGCAGGCGAUGGAAGGGGACUCUCAGUGUGGAAGACUUGGCUGAAAAGGCACGAAGAGCUGUUGGAUGCUGAAGGACCAAGCCUCAGGAAGAAGAGGGUUGGGCCACUAGCAGGAAUGAAUGGACAGAUCCUGUGUCUCCCCCCAACCCCAUCAGAACGUCUCCACUCUCGUGGCUUAUGUUACAUCAUUUUCCCCAAAGCUCAAAACCCGAGCACCCAGAGUCUAAAUGGCCUAAACUGGGUUCUCUGUGCCACGAUUCUCCAGGAGGAGGGGCAGGGGGAACCUUGACUGAGAUGCCCUCAGAACGUCUCAGAAUCAGUGAAGAGCAAUUCCCUCACGGAAAGUCGGGGCGUUUUUACCCAAAAAAGUGGAAAGGCAUGUUUGACAGGCCAAAGAAAGGGAUCUCCGGCGUGCCAAUUUUAGGCCCCACUGUUUACAAGAAAGGAGUAAGAAAAACAAGGAAAUGAUUUCACUUUGUCCUUCCCCUGGCUAUAAUCAGGGCCUCUUCUGGGCAGCACCCUUUCAGAGGCGUUUGACUGCUUGGGAGGCUUUCCAAAGAGUAACUAGGAUGGUGAACACCUGGAAAACAUGACACAUGAGAAACGGGUGAAGAACUGAGGAGGUUGAGCCCAGAGAAGACAAGACUGAGCGGGCAUCUAAUGGCAGUUCUCAGGUACCCGAAGGUCUGGUAUGUAGAAAAAGGAGAAUUUUGUAUUUAAUGGCCAUACAAGGAACUGAAACCGGUAAACAUUUUAAAGGGGAACAGAUUUUGGCUCAGUUGAGUAUAUAUGAGAAAGAUCUUUCGAAAAAUCAACAGCUGGAAAUAAAUGAGUUGGCGCAAGGUAGGGAACUUUCCAUCCCCGGGAAGCCUCAGUUCUUUAAUUAGCAAGAGCUGUGAGCACACACCUCACAUCAGGUUACAACACAUCAUGCCAUGGCCCUGCUGCUGAGGACCCUGACCAAGGGCCCUCAAGGGGACAGCGCUCCCUGUUCGGCCGCAUCUGCUGCAGAUCACGUUUCCAUCUGUGGAGCUCUGGGUGUGCACAGUGUGAGCGGUGACGGACAGGGCAGACAGAAAGGCCUCUGCGUAGCCUCUCUCACCACCUGCCCAGGGCCACAUGGUGCAGGCAGACCACGUGCGAGUCCUUAAUUUAGAGCCUUGCUUCACCCGGGGCCUCUCUUGGGAUGCGUCGUAUUAACGUGUAUCCUUCAUGCACCUCUCAGUGUGAACCAGGUCCACAUCUUGCUUUAUCACUGAACGACAUUCCGAAAAAAAUAUGUGCAGUCUUUUGGGCUAUGCCUUCUAUCAGAAAGCUACAAUAUCAGAGUUGGAAAGGAUUCUGUGAUCAAUGAAUUUACAAAUGCUUGAAUAUAUCCAAUAGCACUCUUUUUUUUUUUUUUUUUUAAAUGGUCACACCUGGGGCGUACAUAAAUUCCUAGGCUGGGGAUUGAUUUCCUUAAAACACUCACAAUCUCCUGGGCAUCUCUCCAGAGAAAACCAUGACUUGAAAAUAUAGAUGUGCUCCAGAGUUCACUGCAGUACUAUAUACAGUAGCCAAGACAUGGAAACAACCUAAAUGUCCAUCAACAGAGGAGUGGAUCAAGAAGAUGUGGUACAUAUACACAAUGGAAUAUUACUCAGCCAUUAAAAGGAAAUAACGGCAUUUGCAGCAACAUGGCUGGACCUGGAGAUUGUCAUGCUAAGUGAAGUCAGUCAAGACAGUGAGAUACCAACAUCAUAUGCUAUCACUUGUGAAAUUAAAAAAAAGGACAGAAUGACCUUCUUUGCAGAGCAGAUACUGACUCACAGACUUUGAAAAACUUAUGGUCUCCAAAUGAGACAGGUUGGGGGGUGGAGGGGUGCGCUGGGGGUUUGGGAUAGAAAUGCUGUACAAUCGUGUUGUGAUGAUCGUUGUACAGAUAUAAAUCUAAUAAAAUUCAUUGAGUGACUUAAAACAAUUUAAAAAAAUAAAAGGGAAAAAAAAAAAAAAAA
rnacentral:lncRNA from 1 species